GCCCUCGGGGGAAUGAUCACGCAGCGCCGACGUGCAGGACUCGGCCAGGGUGCGAGCAGCAGGAAGUCAAGCCUGUCGCGCUGCCGGGGAUGCAGGCUUUCUCAUUUUGACAACCAGUCAGCAAUGAGGCCCCGAAAACUGCAUUUCCUUACGUGUGUUAAUAUCUUCGCAGUUUAAACUUCCUGCACAGAUCAUGUGUAGUGAAAAGAAAAAUACGACAAAUUUCAGCGAGUCCACGUUGACUGACAUCUGGUGCAGCGAAGAGCUGCCUUGAAGAGACACCCUCGUGCCGGCAGUGUUCGACUAGCAGGAGUCCACUUGCACGCACCGAGAUGCUGCUACGCUGGACCUUUGCGUUCUUCUGGCUAUGACCUACCUUGGCAUGCUGCAAACCAUGGCAGUGGCACAAACGGACAUUAAGCUUGCAGCCGUGAACUUCGCACCCCCUCCCCCUCACAUACACACGCACGCACACGCAUACACGCAUACACUUCUGCCUUGCAGCCCGGCCCUCUCAUAGCCGGCUCUAAGGGAAGAAUUUGUCCCAUUUUCUGCAGUUAAGUAACAACGCUGAACAAGUCGUUUGAUUCGCUGGGGGAUGACGCGAACUGGCUGAAGAGAAGCGUUUCAAAUCAUUUCCAGGUGACGCAGCACCAACAAAAAUGAAGAAAUAAUAUAAACAGAAAAAUAUAAAAUAAAGAAUCCGCUCAUUAUUAUAGUGCGCUUUUAGGAGGCAUUUAAGAGGAAAGAUACACUUCUUGACGCUUAAACACUCUCCUUUGUGCCUCUAAAGGAAAGUCGAAAACGACUACGUGUUCCUUUGUGUCAAAUUUAUGAAAAGAGUAUUGUUUCUGAAGGCAAGUCAUUUGCAUAGAUGUCGAUGACCCCAUCUUUCUUUCUUCCUACAAAAUUCAAGCACAACAGCACUUCCAUGAGACCCGCCACCUCCACUUUUAUUUCCUUUCUAACAACACGACGACAACGUCUGCAUAGAACAUACUUAAGUGCACGAGAGCAGAAGAUGGCGUCCCUGUCGAUAAAUGGUUACAUCGUUUUCACACCAACAACCCCCGCAACGUAGAGCAAGCGAGAGAGGAAGAAUCAUAUCAACAAGCAUCUGGAAGGGGCGAUCUUACACUGAUAUGUGAUCGAAAUUUUCUGCGCCAACCACGUGCUGUGACUCCCGUGGGAAUCCAUGAGAGAAAUCAUACUUCAACGCUUUAUUGUGUGAGAACUUAGUUAAGUAGAACGAACCCUUUCAAGGACAAAGAUAAGUGACAAUUCGUUCGUUUUAUGCUGUGCAAACAAUAUCAGGCGACAUACGCCUACCACACCAUUUUUGGGGACUGUAGGUUCCUGAAAUGGCACGACGAAUUACUGUGCUAGUGCAUCAGCGUCGGAGUCCUGAUUUGGCACAACGAUACUUUUCUUUUUUUCAUGUGGGGCUCAGCGAAGAAGCAAGCUUACCAAACGUGGCAACAGGCCUUGGGUGAACUGGCAGCAUGGUUUUGAACGUCUCACGAACGUCUCACUGCAGCAGGCACACGAAAGAAUUGCGUCGCAACCACUCAAGGCCUGUGCGAAAAUAUCAACGUGCUACGAACCACUCGAGGAAGUCAGCAAGGAAGGCUGCUUACAGGUUGCUCCGAAGAAUGAUCAUCAGGG